ACGGAACUCUUCGGAGUUUAGUGGCGGACGGGUGAGUAACGCGUGAGAAUCUGCCUUCAGGUUGGGGACAACAGUUGGAAACGACUGCUAAUACCCAAUGUGCCGCGAGGUGAAAGCUUUAGUGCCUGAAGAUGAGCUCGCGUCUGAUUAGCUAGUUGGUGAGGUAAUGGCUUACCAAGGCGACGAUCAGUAGCUGGUCUGAGAGGAUGAUCAGCCACACUGGGACUGAGACACGGCCCAGACUCCUACGGGAGGCAGCAGUGGGGAAUUUUCCGCAAUGGGCGCAAGCCUGACGGAGCAAGACCGCGUGAGGGAGGAAGGCUCUUGGGUUGUAAACCUCUUUUAUCAGGGAAGAAGAUCUGACGGUACCUGAUGAAUCAGCAUCGGCUAACUCCGUGCCAGCAGCCGCGGUAAUACGGAGGAUGCAAGCGUUAUCCGGAAUGAUUGGGCGUAAAGCGUCCGCAGGUGGCUAUGUAAGUCUGCUGUUAAAGCGUCUAGCUCAACUAGAUAAGAGCAGUGGAAACUACAAGGCUAGAGUGCGUUCGGGGCAGAGGGAAUUCCUGGUGUAGCGGUGAAAUGCGUAGAGAUCAGGAAGAACACCGGUGGCGAAGGCGCUCUGCUAGGCCGCAACUGACACUGAGGGACGAAAGCUAGGGGAGCGAAUGGGAUUAGAUACCCCAGUAGUCCUAGCCGUAAACGAUGGAUACUAGGCGUGGCUUGUAUCGACCCGAGCCGUGCCGAAGC
rnacentral:rRNA from 1 species